CAUUCAACUUCCUGCCUGACCUUAGAUAUCGCCAACUUUCUGUUUCCGUUUUAUUUUCCAAACGCAGCCUCCUGCUUGCUCCUUUGAGGCUUGUUUUGAGGCAGAAAACACAAGUUUCCUCCCCUCGCUGGUGUUAUUUAAGGAAAAGGCAGCCUCUCCCUCCUCUCUCCGCUCUCCGGGAUGGGUGUGGUUUUCAAAGACAAACUUCUGAAUGAUGUGUACGCCUCACUUUCAGUUCCUGAGUCUGACUAGAGGAGGAGCGUGGAGCCGAGCUUUGCUCAGGACGCUUACGGUGGAGAUCAGGCUCCGUGUGUAUGGCCCGGGUGCCCCGCUAGUCUGGUUGUGAGGAUCAUCAUAUAGGCCACUGCAAUGAAAGUGUUGCUUUAUUACAACAUCAUCUUCAUUCGGGACUUUAUUAUCCUUUCCAUGACGUCCGUCUGGAGACCAUCUCAAAAAGGCAGCUUUUGACAGAAUGCCCUCCUGGCUUUUAACGCGAUUCGUUUCUGGCUACAGUCACGCAGACGAGAAACGGCCACAUCUAAACAUCUCUGAGGACACGUGAGGAGAAGCAGGGUCACGAUCCACCACACGCAACGGGAGCCAAGAUGAUUCAUGCAGAAAAUGACCUCUAUUAUCCAGCCGUUGCAGUGUCCCCGACAAUUGUGUGUUUUUCAUUAUGUCAGUCACUUGAUAUGAUAUAAUCAUUGCACAUAAUGAGCACCAUUUAACAGGGCAAAGUCUUUGAUGUGAGGAUCCCACUUGGCUAAAGUUGGUAACAAUUUGCUGGGACGAGGACAAGUCUUGUCAACACCCGUAAUGACAAAAUCUAAUGGCGAGGUGAACGCACACGGAACCCUGGCUAUCCCAGGGUCAUGUAAACAUAGGGCACUAUAGCGCCAUUGAAAGUCUGUUUUCUCAAGAGUAUACGCCAGUUGGGCAAAUGGUCCCUGUGAGCAGACUGCGAAACCGGAGACGGGUGACACCAAAGCAAAGAGGAACGGAGUGUGUCGCUACGGCUAAGCGAUUGGCUAGAUAUGACUUUUUCUUCCUCGUGGUCAUCUCAUCAAUGGGCCAGCUGGAGGGAUUCCUGGCAGAGUGAUUUGGAAGUAUACCGUAAAAUCACAUUGCCAGGGAUUUCCAACCAGCUGUGAACUGUUUACUUCGGGAAAGUCUCCGUCAGCUGACCCUGCUCACGCCCUGAUGGACGAAGCUGUCAAACCUGUCCCGUAGUCAAAUCAUGAAAAACGCACUAGUGCCCAGGGGACUGAAUAAGCUAGCCUCGGAAUGACCUAUAACUCGGGGUUGAAAUAAUACCGGUGGUAUACGUAGAAAGCAGCUAUCUGUAGGUCCCACAUAUGUUUUGUUUUGCCUCUUUUUGUUCGUUGGAUAAACACUGGCUCGGGUCUUAUGACUGCGGUUUUGGGAAACUGGAAACAUGAUAUUAGGCUAUGGUGCCGUACAUCACAUAGAAAAAGCUGUGGCUUCGGCAGCUGGAGCAGUCUUUCGUUUGUGCGGUGGAUUGUGGAAUUAGCACCAUACCAAUAACUGGACCUGUGAGGAUAAAUGCGAUAAUGCAUUUCUUAAGCACAGCAAUGUAGUGUUUUGUUUAAUAUUUGAAUACAUUUAUUUAAAAAAAGCCUAAAGACAAUUUAGAGAAAAACCUACAGCCUUCUGUAAAUUUCUGUAAUAUACAUAAUCAUUUAUUCUGUGAAUUUGAAAAUACCAACAAAAUAAAUAACGUCUUGAGCCUCGUUCAUGUCAGAUAAUAAAAAUGUA